rnacentral:rRNA from 1 species
CCUACGGGAGGCAGCAGUGGGGAAUAUUGGACAAUGGGGGGAACCCUGAUCCAGCGACGCCGCGUGAGUGAAGAAGUAUUUCGGUAUGUAAAGCUCUAUCAGCAGGGAAGAAAGAAAUGACGGUACCUGACUAAGAAGCCCCGGCUAACUACGUGCCAGCAGCCGCGGUAAUACGUAGGGGGCAAGCGUUAUCCGGAUUUACUGGGUGUAAAGGGGGCGUAGACGGCGAUGCAAGUCUGAAGUGAAAGGCGGGGGCCCAACCCCCGGACUGCUUUGGAAACUGUAUGGCUGGAGUGCAGGAGAGGUAAGUGGAAUUCCUAGUGUAGCGGUGAAAUGCGUAGAUAUUAGGAGGAACACCAGUGGCGAAGGCGGCUUACUGGACUGUAACUGACGUUGAGGCUCGAAAGCGUGGGGAGCAAACAGGAUUAGAUACCCGAGUAGUC